rnacentral:rRNA from 1 species
UACAGAGGUCUCAAGCGUUGUUCGGAUUCAUUGGGCGUAAAGGGUGCGUAGGCGGCGCGGUAAGUCGGGGUGUGAAAUCUCGGAGCUUAACUCCGAAACUGCAUUCGAUACUGCCGUGCUUGAGGACUGGAGAGGAGACUGGAAUUUACGGUGUAGCGGUGAAAUGCGUAGAUAUGUGGAAGAACACCGGUGGCGAAGGCGGUUUUCUAGCUUAUUCCUGACGCUAAGGCGCGAAAAGCAAGGGGGAUCAAACAGG